AAGUUUAGGUUAACCCAGCCACCAAACCAAGGACCUUCAAAGCCCUAAACAGGGACCAACCCCCUAACUUCUG
rnacentral:tRNA from 1 species